UGUUACGUCUGCACUGUGUCUCAAAGAAA
rnacentral:piRNA from 1 species